rnacentral:lncRNA from 1 species
GCCAAAAAUAUUCCCGUAUGUACAGAGGCGUCCACUUCUACCUUGAACACCGCACCAUGCGACCAGCGCUCUGCGGAGCGCCUGUCGCGGGCGCUUGGGGAACUGGCGCGCAAGCGCAGUGACAGCUGUACGUC